rnacentral:rRNA from 1 species
UACGGAGGGUGCAAGCGUUAUCCGGAAUUACUGGGUUUAAAGGGGGCGUAGGCGGCUUGGUAAGUCAGGGGUGAAAUCCCGCAGCUCAACUGUGGAAUUGCCUUUGAUACUGCCGAGCUUGAAUCAGGAUGAGGUUGGCGGAAUGUGACAUGUAGCGGUGAAAUGCUUAGAUAUGUCAUAGAACACCGAUUGCGAAGGCAGCUGGCUAGACCUUGAUUGACGCUGAGGCACGGAAGCGUGGGGAGCGAACAGG